AGAGUUUGAUCCUGGCUCAGAUUGAACGCUGGCGGCAUGCCUUACACAUGCAAGUCGAACGGCAGCACGGGAGCAAUCCUGGUGGCGAGUGGCGAACGGGUGAGUAAUAUAUCGGAACGUGCCCAGUAGUGGGGGAUAGCCCGGCGAAAGCCGGAUUAAUACCGCAUACGACCUGUGGGUGAAAGCGGGGGAUCGCAAGACCUCGCGCUAUUGGAGCGGCCGAUAUCAGAUUAGCUUGUUGGUGGGGUAAAAGCCCACCAAGGCGACGAUCUGUAGCUGGCCUGAGAGGACGACCAGCCACACUGGGACUGAGACACGGCCCAGACUCCUACGGGAGGCAGCAGUGGGGAAUUUUGGACAAUGGGCGCAAGCCUGAUCCAGCCAUGCCGCGUGUGGGAAGAAGGCCUUCGGGUUGUAAACCAC
rnacentral:rRNA from 1 species